UAAAACUCAAAUUGAAUUUCCCUGCUCUACUUUCUCCACCCCUGCCCAAACAUACCACUGAACAGCAGUGAUUUUGUGAGGCCUUUCUAUAAACAGAGAGCUAUACUUGGGGGUACACCCAAAAACCCCAAAAAGUAUCAUCUCCUAUGUAUCAUAUCUAGUGAUUUAAAGUGUUUAGUUUGGCCCUUUUCCUUAGUUCCUUAUGUCCUGAAAUGAGACAUGGGAGGGAUAGGAUUGUUUCUUCUCCCACUCAUAAACCUUAGCCUUCUCUCUCUUCUGCAGUCUACAUGGGGAGGACAGAGAAGCGCAAAGAACAAGAGAAAAGAUGCAUCCAUCUGAGAUCUAAAAGGAGACAAUGAGCAGAAUCUCUUUAAAAUGGACAUAGAAGACUGCAAUGGCCGCUCCUAUAUGUCUGGUAGCGGGGACUCAUCUCUGGAGAAGGAGUUCCUCGGGGCCCCAGUGGGGCCCUCGGUGAGCACCCCCAACAGCCAGCACUCUUCUCCUAGCCGCUCACUCAGUGCCAACUCCAUCAAGGUGGAGAUGU
rnacentral:sRNA from 1 species